rnacentral:lncRNA from 1 species
UCUUGAUCAACAUGUCCCCUUAUCUCCCUUUCUCCAGCUCCUGGUAACCAUCAUUCUGGUAACAGGGCAAAGGGGAUCAUCUUUGUUUCUAUGAAUUUGUUUCUACGGAUUUGACAUUUUUAGAGCUGUAUGAGUUCACUUAUAUAUGGUAUCUAAAACAAUAACAAAUAGAUUUUGACCCAGUUUGGGGAAACUGAUUUUUGACCUUGUAAUUACGGAUUUAAAAAUGAUGACUAGUCUAGCUCAGACAGGGAAGAAACUUCAGAAAUAGCAAGCCAAAAAUUGCAUUAUUUUGCUUCUGAACAUUCUGUAUAAGAUAAUUACAUAGCCACGGUAUGGAAUGUUGACAUUCAUAUAUUGACCUAGACCAAAACAAGUAAAAUAUAUGUAUACAUGUGUGUGUAUAAAACUUAUUUUGUCUUUGUUUUAAUGCUUAUUUGAUUAUUUAAGUUCCAAAAAGAUUUCAUAAUUUUGAGAUGAAUUCCAUUCAUUUUUUUCAGAUGUUCAGUGUGUUGCAGUUGACUCCAAAAAUGUUGACUUCAGCAACUAGAAAACUAUACGGACCACUUUUGGGGAACUGAGUUGCUUUGGAAUUUCUGAGGACCCCCACAAAUGUCUCAAAUGGCCAAGAAAUUGAAGAUGAGUUGCAGUUGGAUUAGAGUCAAAAGUUCCAGAGCAGCAGUCCCAAGGAAGAAGAGUAUGCAGAAAUGAGGCAUUUGGCUGCUUAAGAAAUCAAAAGACAGACACAAAAACAGGUUUGAAUAGAAGUCCACAUUCCAACAAACUCGUUUUCUUCACUAUCUCACUAUCUUUUGUGGAGAUUCAAAGACAUAGGAUUUUUUACUUACUGCUUGUAAAAAAAAAAAAAAUGGUAAAAUAAGAUAAAAUUGCGACUAUUUUUUUCUCAGAGCUUUAGCAAAAUGAACUUUACUUUCUAGAUGUUAUCUGUGGAGUUUACUCCCAUAUUACAAUGAAU